UACGGAGGGGGGCUAGCGUUUGUUCGGAAUUACUGGGCGUAAAGCGCACGUAGGCGGCUUUGUAAGUUAGAGGUGAAAGCCCCGGGGCUCAACUCCGGAAUUGCCUUUAAGACUGCAUCGCUAGAAUUGUGGAGAGGUAAGUGGAAUUCCGAGUGUAGAGGUGAAAUUCGUAGAUAUUCGGAAGAACACCAGUGGCGAAGGCGACUUACUGGACACAUAUUGACGCUGAGGUGCGAAAAGCGUGGGGAGCAAACAGG
rnacentral:rRNA from 1 species